GAUGAACGCUAGCGGCAGGCCUAACACAUGCAAGUCGAGGGGUAACAUAGAAAAGCUUGCUUUUCUGAUGACGACCGGCGCACGGGUGCGUAACGCGUAUACAACCUACCUUUUAGCGGGGAAUAGCCCAGGGAAACUUGGAUUAAUGCCCCAUAGUAUAUAGACUUCUCCUGAAGUUUAUAUUAAACAUUUAUGGCUAUUAGAUGGGUAUGCGUCCUAUUAGUUAGUUGGUAAGGUAACGGCUUACCAAGGCAGCGAUAGGUAGGGGUCCUGAGAGGGAGAUCCCCACACUGGUACUGAGACACGGACCAGACUCCUACGGGAGGCAGCAGUGAGGAAUAUUGGACAAUGGGCGAGAGCCUGAUCCAGCCAUGCCGCGUGCAGGGAGACUGCCCUAUGGGUUGUAAACUGCUUUUACAGAGGAAGAACCACCCCCACGUGUGGGGGUUUGACGGUACUCUGCGAAUAAGGAUCGGCUAACUCCGUG
rnacentral:rRNA from 1 species